UUCAGUGAGGAUAACUGCUACAUAGGAAGUGCCGUCCGAUGCGAUAACUGACGACUUAACUGCGUGUGUCAACGCUGAUU